rnacentral:tRNA from 1 species
UAGAGUAGUGUAAAUUAUACAUUCAAAAUUUUCAAUUUUGAGAUUAACUUAUUAGUUA